UAAGACCCUCAUGAUGUCUUGCAAAAAUGAUGUCUUGCAAAAAUGACGUCGUCAACAAAAUAUCUUUUCCACUAUCCAAUCAUGAUGUCUUGCAAAAAUGACGUCGAGAUAGCCAGUUUCUCUCAAUCAUAGAGUUGAGCUACCAAAGAGACCUUAUGGACCUAUAGCUUGAAGCUCCAACGCAAACGCAGAAAUCAAUUGCAUACGCAGAAGCCAGGCUAUCGCGAAGACGACCGCAUGCGGGGAAUCUUUCCAUCGCAAAGGUGAAUGCAUACGUUCGACGCAUGGAUGUUGUGGCCAUUAACUGCAUGCGUCCAUCACAUAGAAGUUGCGGCUACAAAGUAAUAACCAUAAUAGAGGGAUGAGAGCAAGGUGGUGGAAUGUGUUGAUACUUCGGAAACCAAGCAUGAACGCAUACCUUGGGAGUAUCAAAAAGUGAUGUUGACAUUUCACCUACCAUGUUGUUAGCAGCAGAGAUUUAGAGCAAGUCCAUCACGUCCAUCACGCCGUUAGCUGCAGAAUUUCAAAGAAGAACCAUUAAUGAUGUUGGCGAUCAAGCUCUAUAAAUAGAAGUCGUAGAGCAGAACUUCAAAUUAUCCAAGGCCCUCUGCCGGAGGGCAGAUCCUUAUGAUCCAGACCAAAGUGUAAGAAGAUAGUCUUGAGAGUUCUUCAUCCUCUCAACCAUUCCGAGUGAUGAUCAGAGCCUUCACCGGAGUUAGAGCUCGAGAGAGUCUACUCCACU